ACUCGCGACACACAGAGUUCGCGUUCAUUGAGUUGUAGCGCGGUGCGUGGCGUGGAUAUUUGCUGCGAUAAGUUUUGACUGUAGUUGGACUAGUACUGGAUUUACACAGUGCUCCUUCGAUGACAGGAUUAUAAAAACAAUGAUCUGCUGUGUGGAGUAGUUGUGUCUACUGGUUUGGCUUUUAAGAAGGCCCCUUUCUGAAACAGAAAAAAAAACAAAUCGCCAUUGAAAUAAACCUCAACGGUCAACAUACGCCCUAAUCAACACCAUGGAUUAAUUAUUCAAUUAAUUUCGUGGUGUCACCUUGACCUUGUCAUCUAAAAUUAUGGAUUUUAAAACGGUAGUGAACAAAGUCUCUCGGCGUUUCCUCCGAACCGGCGUCUGCCUGAUUCCCGCCAAACGGACCUCACUUGGACAACACUUCCCCGUCUGGCAUGGCUCAACCCAAAAAUCUGGAUAAGUUGGUGCUGUCGAUCGUGGCGACGGUGAUUGCCGUCGUCGCGUGGUUGCUGGUGGUGGCCGGGUCGUUCGUCCCCCGGUGGGCCCGACCCCUGAACACGACCCACGUCAAGUCCAACGUGACGUACAGCCUGUGGGGUCGGGAGGACUGCUAUGAUUACAUCUGUACCACGAAGAUUAGACGUGAGAACGUGGAGACAAAACGCACGUGGUUUGAUGAGCACGAUCGUGAGCAGGUGGAGAUUAAGACUGAGAUAAUCCACCGGCCAAUCACGACGUGUGUCGUGGCCCAACUUCUGCAACAUCACGUGGUUUGAAG